CCUACGGGAGGCAGCAGUGGGGAAUAUUGGACAAUGGGCGAAAGCCUGAUCCAGCAAUGCCGCGUGAGUGAUGAAGGCCUUAGGGUUGUAAAGCUCUUUUACCAGGGAUGAUAAUGACAGUACCUGGAGAAUAAGCUCCGGCUAACUCCGUGCCAGCAGCCGCGGUAAUACGGAGGGAGCUAGCGUUGUUCGGAAUUACUGGGCGUAAAGCGUACGUAGGCGGUUAUUCAAGUCAGAGGUGAAAGCCUGGAGCUCAACUCCAGAACUGCCUUUGAAACUAGAUAGCUAGAAUCUUGGAGAGGUGAGUGGAAUUCCGAGUGUAGAGGUGAAAUUCGUAGAUAUUCGGAAGAACACCAGUGGCGAAGGCGACUCACUGGACAAGUAUUGACGCUGAGGUACGAAAGCGUGGGGAGCAAACAGGAUUAGAUACCCUGGUAGUCCACGCCGUAAACGAUGAUAACUAGCUGUUCGGGCUCUACGAGCUUGAGUGGCGCAGCUAACGCAUUAAGUUAUCCGCCUGGGGAGUACGGUCGCAAGNUUAAAACUCAAAAUGAAUUGAACGGCUGAGACCGNGCGAGACGACGACGAGGGAGAGG
rnacentral:rRNA from 1 species